rnacentral:tRNA from 1 species
GCCGGUGUAGCUCAACUGGUAGAGCAACUGACUUGUAAUCAGUAGGUUGGAGGUUCAAGUCCUCUUGCCGGCA